rnacentral:rRNA from 1 species
UUAAGCGACUAAGCGUACACGGUGGAUGCCCUGGCAGUCAGAGGCGAUGAAGGACGUGCUAAUCUGCGAUAAGCGUCGGUAAGGUGAUAUGAACCGUUAUAACCGGCGAUUUCCGAAUGGGGAAACCCAGUGUGUUUCGACACACUAUCAUUAACUGAAUCCAUAGGUUAAUGAGGCGAACCGGGGGAACUGAAACAUCUAAGUACCCCGAGGAAAAGAAAUCAACCGAGAUUCCCCCAGUAGCGGCGAGCGAACGGGGAGCAGCCCAGAGCCUGAAUCAGUGUGUGUGUUAGUGGAAGCGUCUGGAAAGGCGCGCGAUACAGGGUGACAGCCCCGUACACAAAAAUGCACAUACUGUGAGCUCGAUGAGUAGGGCGGGACACGUGGUAUCCUGUCUGAAUAUGGGGGGACCAUCCUCCAAGGCUAAAUACUCCUGACUGACCGAUAGUGAACCAGUACCGUGAGGGAAAGGCGAAAAGAACCCCGGCGAGGGGAGUGAAAAAGAACCUGAAACCGUGUACGUACAAGCAGUGGGAGCACGCUUAGGCGUGUGACUGCGUACCUUUUGUAUAAUGGGUCAGCGACUUAUAUUCUGUAGCAAGGUUAACCGAAUAGGGGAGCCGAAGGGAAACCGAGUCUUAACUGGGCGUUAAGUUGCAGGGUAUAGACCCGAAACCCGGUGAUCUAGCCAUGGGCAGGUUGAAGGUUGGGUAACACUAACUGGAGGACCGAACCGACUAAUGUUGAAAAAUUAGCGGAUGACUUGUGGCUGGGGGUGAAAGGCCAAUCAAACCGGGAGAUAGCUGGUUCUCCCCGAAAGCUAUUUAGGUAGCGCCUCGUGAAUUCAUCUCCGGGGGUAGAGCACUGUUUCGGCAAGGGGGUCAUCCCGACUUACCAACCCGAUGCAAACUGCGAAUACCGGAGAAUGUUAUCACGGGAGACACACGGCGGGUGCUAACGUCCGUCGUGAAGAGGGAAACAACCCAGACCGCCAGCUAAGGUCCCAAAGUCAUGGUUAAGUGGGAAACGAUGUGGGAAGGCCCAGACAGCCAGGAUGUUGGCUUAGAAGCAGCCAUCAUUUAAAGAAAGCGUAAUAGCUCACUGGUCGAGUCGGCCUGCGCGGAAGAUGUAACGGGGCUAAACCAUGCACCGAAGCUGCGGCAGCGACGCUUAUGCGUUGUUGGGUAGGGGAGCGUUCUGUAAGCCUGCGAAGGUGUGCUGUGAGGCAUGCUGGAGGUAUCAGAAGUGCGAAUGCUGACAUAAGUAACGAUAAAGCGGGUGAAAAGCCCGCUCGCCGGAAGACCAAGGGUUCCUGUCCAACGUUAAUCGGGGCAGGGUGAGUCGACCCCUAAGGCGAGGCCGAAAGGCGUAGUCGAUGGGAAACAGGUUAAUAUUCCUGUACUUGGUGUUACUGCGAAGGGGGGACGGAGAAGGCUAUGUUGGCCGGGCGACGGUUGUCCCGGUUUAAGCGUGUAGGCUGGUUUUCCAGGCAAAUCCGGAAAAUCAAGGCUGAGGCGUGAUGACGAGGCACUACGGUGCUGAAGCAACAAAUGCCCUGCUUCCAGGAAAAGCCUCUAAGCAUCAGGUAACAUCAAAUCGUACCCCAAACCGACACAGGUGGUCAGGUAGAGAAUACCAAGGCGCUUGAGAGAACUCGGGUGAAGGAACUAGGCAAAAUGGUGCCGUAACUUCGGGAGAAGGCACGCUGAUAUGUAGGUGAAGUCCCUCGCGGAUGGAGCUGAAAUCAGUCGAAGAUACCAGCUGGCUGCAACUGUUUAUUAAAAACACAGCACUGUGCAAACACGAAAGUGGACGUAUACGGUGUGACGCCUGCCCGGUGCCGGAAGGUUAAUUGAUGGGGUCAGCGCAAGCGAAGCUCUUGAUCGAAGCCCCGGUAAACGGCGGCCGUAACUAUAACGGUCCUAAGGUAGCGAAAUUCCUUGUCGGGUAAGUUCCGACCUGCACGAAUGGCGUAAUGAUGGCCAGGCUGUCUCCACCCGAGACUCAGUGAAAUUGAACUCGCUGUGAAGAUGCAGUGUACCCGCGGCAAGACGGAAAGACCCCGUGAACCUUUACUAUAGCUUGACACUGAACAUUGAGCCUUGAUGUGUAGGAUAGGUGGGAGGCUUUGAAGUGUGGACGCCAGUCUGCAUGGAGCCGACCUUGAAAUACCACCCUUUAAUGUUUGAUGUUCUAACGUGGACCCGUAAUCCGGGUUGCGGACAGUGUCUGGUGGGUAGUUUGACUGGGGCGGUCUCCUCCUAAAGAGUAACGGAGGAGCACGAAGGUUGGCUAAUCCUGGUCGGACAUCAGGAGGUUAGUGCAAUGGCAUAAGCCAGCUUGACUGCGAGCGUGACGGCGCGAGCAGGUGCGAAAGCAGGUCAUAGUGAUCCGGUGGUUCUGAAUGGAAGGGCCAUCGCUCAACGGAUAAAAGGUACUCCGGGGAUAACAGGCUGAUACCGCCCAAGAGUUCAUAUCGACGGCGGUGUUUGGCACCUCGAUGUCGGCUCAUCACAUCCUGGGGCUGAAGUAGGUCCCAAGGGUAUGGCUGUUCGCCAUUUAAAGUGGUACGCGAGCUGGGUUUAGAACGUCGUGAGACAGUUCGGUCCCUAUCUGCCGUGGGCGCUGGAGAACUGAGGGGGGCUGCUCCUAGUACGAGAGGACCGGAGUGGACGCAUCACUGGUGUUCGGGUUGUCAUGCCAAUGGCACUGCCCGGUAGCUAAAUGCGGAAGAGAUAAGUGCUGAAAGCAUCUAAGCACGAAACUUGCCCCGAGAUGAGUUCUCCCUGACUCCUUGAGAGUCCUGAAGGAACGUUGAAGACGACGACGUUGAUAGGCCGGGUGUGUAAGCGCAGCGAUGCGUUGAGCUAACCGGUACUAAUGAACCGUGAGGCUUAACCUU